UUUAACCAUCAGUGCUAUGCCUAUAUGAAUAAACAAAUAGUGUUUUGUGCUCCUAUGUAAGUAGGUAGAAACUUCAUUGACCGUGUGUGUGUGUGUGUGUGCGCCUAGUCACGUGCCGCUUUGAAUAUUGUGCAACAGGUGACCUCAUUUGCAAGCUGGUGUGUGUGUGUGUGUGUGUGUGUGUGUGUGUGUGUGUGUGUGUGCUAUUCUAUCGCUGGUCAUAGCCUUGAGCCUAUUACGACGAUUCUCUUAAAUGUCCCCUAGUCAGUUGGAGCUACACCGGCAGUGUAUAUCAUUAUCUUUGCGUUUGUCAUCACAAAUGAUAUGAUUUUUACCAACAAAAA